rnacentral:misc_RNA from 1 species
UAAUUUUCUCGGAUUAUUUGUAUUCAAAUCCCACUCUUUAUAAAUAUAUUAAUUAUAUAAAACAAAAUAAAAAAAGAAAACUUUCAACAACGGAUCUCUUGGCUCUCGCAUCG